UGUUGCGCAAUGUCACGCGACCUCAGAGCGCGAGGUGCAGAGAUACGUUUGCAGCUGAGAGGGGCACGCGCUGGCGGUAUCAACAUUACAGGAUUUUAAUUGACUUUUGCAGAUGAGCUGGAGUGUACAAAAGAGCCACCAUCAAGAGCUCAUCAGCCCAGACGUUUAGUCCACGCGUGAUAAGCACCAUGCUGACUGUCAUCUGUGGAAGCUCAGAUGUUUGUGGAAGUCUGGAGAUGUUGGGAUGAUCAUUCUAAUGGGGAACGAAUGCUGUCUCUGCUGCUGGUGUGUUGGUGGUCCCAUCAGGCUUCUUAACUAGCUUAAUCAGCAAGACUGCCCUGUACAGUGGCAUGAUGAAUUCAGGAUAUGGCAACGGAUGUAAAGCCGCCUAGCCACCCCCUGUUAGAGACCAAUGAAUUCUGAGUCUUCACUUUACUUCCCCACACCACAGAGAUGUGGACUGGACAACCUUGUUAGGUGUUAGAGGAUACUACUGCCCUUCAAUCAGACCACCUGUCAGUGUACAUGCUGCUGUUUUCCUGAGGCUGUGUAUAUUCAAGCUGUCAUAAAAGGUGAUUCAUUUUACAUGUGCUCAUAACAAAAGCUGACAUCUGUAGUAAGUGGGGAAAAAAAAGGUAAGGUCUGUGGCCAUAAUCACACAGCGACAGCUAAUGAUGUGCCUUAAACUUAAGCUUUUUAGUUGCUUGAGGAUACG